rnacentral:lncRNA from 1 species
GAUGUUGAGAGAUCAACCAGGAGACUGUGGGAGGAUGUGAGCUCUCUGAGAAGGAGAAGAAGUAUUUACAUUAGAAGUCUGAUUCACAGGUCGGGGCAAAGUGAAAAACAUCUGCACUUUUAAAAGGUGAGGACAGUCUGUUCUGAAGGUCUACACAUUAAUGCUUCCUAUUGGGAAUUCAAAUCGGCAAUUUGUUCUUCUUCUGGUUGUUUGAAUCUUCAAAAUAGAGGGAAGACACCUGGAUGAAACAUUUUCACAGACUCUGCAAUUCCCUUAAGAGGAUCCCAGAGCCCUUAAGCUUCUCUUAGAUUCCUCUGAUUUUUUUCAGCCCAAGGACUGUUACCACAUGUCUUCCAUCUUGCCCACAAUUUUAGCAGGAGAAAAGAUGUCCUAGAAAGGAUCUGCUCUAUCAGCAUGGAUUCUGGGAUUUAAAAAAAGAUAUAAAGAGACCUACAGCUGUAGAACAGAGUUUCAGCCUACCUGCUGCCAACACAUAAUGUGACUGAGAUAAACUCUUGUUGAUUAAAUCAACUGAGCAGUUAGUUACCUGUUUCAGCAGUAUAACAAAGAAAAAACUGACUAAUAAAAGUUCCUAGGAUGUUCC